rnacentral:lncRNA from 1 species
GGGGAUCAACCAUGAAACUGUGGGUGUUGGAAAUAUGUUAUAAUACAUGACAUUUUUAUUGCAGGUUUUGACCUUUCAAUAGAGAGCUGAUUUUGGAGAAUGGCUUACUCCUGUGAUUGAAAAACUCUCUGGAAGGUUGAUGGAGCAUGAGCAUGAGUA